CCCAUCAGAAGGGUGAGUGGUCCAGCCAAUCUCUGAGGUUUCUCCAGUUGUAUCCAGAAGUAUUUCUUCCAGAGAGGUGACUAGAUGAAAGAAGCAGACCAUCCAGAGCCAACCCAUUCCCAACACUUUUCUUGCAUUGAUGCCAGCAUUAGAAUCCAUGAAGAUUCUCUGCAGAUUCCACCAUCUCUAAUAGACACUCACUACUCGCUUGAAAUGUUCAGAGGUUGCUUGAAGUGUUUCAGUAUCAAAGCAUAGGCCUUCACACAGUAACACUGCCGGGUUCCCUCUCCCAUAGACGCCUCUCUUCCUCCCGCUUACCAGAAUCUCUCUCUUU